AUUGAACGCUGGCGGCAGGCCUAACACAUGCAAGUCGAACGGUAACAGGAAACAGCUUGCUGUUUCGCUGACGAGUGGCGGACGGGUGAGUAAUGUCUGGGAAACUGCCUGCUGGAGGGGGAUAACUACUGGAAACGGUAGCUAAUACCGCAUAACGUCGCAAGACCAAAGAGGGGGACCUUCCGGCCUCUUGCCACAGGAUGUGCCCGGAUGGGAUUAGCUUGUUGGUGGGGUAACGGCUCACCAAGGCGCCGAUCUCUAGCUUGUCUGAGAGGAUGACCAGCCACACUGGAACUGAGACACGGUCCAGACUCCUACGGGAGGCAGCAGUGGGGAAUAUUGCACAAUGGGCGCAAGCCUGAUGCAGCCAUGCCGCGUGUAUGAAGAAGGCCGUCGGGUUGUAAAGUACUUUCAGCGGGGAGGAAGGGAGUAAAGUUAAUACCUUUACUCAUUGACGUUACCCGCAGAAGAAGCACCGGCUAACUACGUGCCAGCAGCCGCCGUAA
rnacentral:rRNA from 1 species